rnacentral:tRNA from 1 species
UGGGCUGUAGAUCAGUGGUAGAGCGCUUGCCUCGAAUGCGUGAGGCCCUGGGUUUGAUCCUCAGCACCACAU